GGUAGGAUGGCUGAGUGUCCAAGCGGCGGAUUGUAGCUCCGUGUACAGAGGUUCAAGCCCUCUUUCUAUCA
rnacentral:tRNA from 1 species